AUGUGUUUGGGCCUCACGGCUCUUCAUUCCGACGCUGUGCGCCUUCGGGCUGCACGCUGAGGGAGCAUAUAUCCACCCCUGUGCACACACACGGUGGCGAGCUGGGUAACGGCUCGCCGCUGAUCUUUACACACGUCUAAAAGUCAUUGUAUGUUAUUUGAGAUAAAAAACA
rnacentral:misc_RNA from 1 species